rnacentral:rRNA from 1 species
AGGGUGUAAACGCUGCAGACUUGGUGUUGGGGGCCCUUUGGGGGCAUUCAGUGCCGGAGAGAAGUUGUUAAGUCUGCUACUUGGGGAGUACGUCCGCAAGGAUGAAACUUAAAGGAUUGGCGGGGAGCACCGCAACGGGAGGAGCGUGCGGUUUAAUUGGAUUCAACACCGUAAAACUCACCAGGGAAGACUGUUACAUGAAGGCCGAGAUGAAGACUCUGCUAGAUUUUCAGAGAGGUGGUGCAUGGCGUCAGUGACU